rnacentral:rRNA from 1 species
AGGAUGAACGCUGGCGGCGUGCCUAAUACAUGCAAGUCGAGCGGUAAGGCCCCUUCGGGGGUACACGAGCGGCGGACGGCUGAGUAACGCGUGGGAACGUACCCCAAAGUGAGGGAUAAGCACCAGAAAUGGUGUCUAAUACCGCAUGUGCUCUAAGGAGUAAAGCUUCGGCGCUUUGGGAACGGCCUGCGUCCGAUUAGCUUGUUGGUGAGGUAAUGGCUUACCAAGGCGAUGAUCGGUAGCUGGUCUGAGAGGAUGAUCAGCCAGACUGGGACUGAGAACGGCCCAGACUCCUACGGGAGGCAGCAGUAGGGAAUUUUCCACAAUGGGCGAAAGCCUGAUGGAGCAACGCCGCGUGCAGGAUGAAGGCCUUCGGGUUGUAAACUGCUUUUAUGUACGACGAUUAUGACGGUAGUACAUGAAUAAGGAUCGGCUAACUCCGCGCCAGCACGCCGAC